rnacentral:rRNA from 1 species
GAUGAACGCUGGCGGCGUGCCUAAUGCAUGCAAGUCGAGCGACGCGGGGAGGGGUGAGUAAAACGUGGAUAACCCCCUAUAAGACUGGGAUAACUUCGGGAAACCGGAGGUAAAACGGAGACUUAUCGCUGGAUCCGGGUGGCAUUAGCUAGUUGGUAAGGUAACGGCUUACCAAGGCAACGAUGCAUAGCCGACCUGAGAGGGUGAUCGGCCACACUGGAACUGAGACACGGUCCAGACUCCUACGGGAGGCAGCAGUAGGGAAUCUUCCGCAAUGGGCGAAAGCCUGACGGAGCAACGCCGCGUGAGUGAUGAAGGUCUUCGGAUCGUAAAACUCUGUUAUUAGGGAAGCGGUACCUAAUCAGAAAGCCACGGCUAACUACGUGCCAGCAGCCGCGGUAAUAC